CAACAUUAUAGAUAAAAAAAAGUCUGUAUAAGUCACACUUAGAAUCAAGCAAAAAAUUACAUUAAUAUAGUCAUCCAUAAUGCCACUACACGUAUAUUUGACACAAAACAUUUACAAUAAUAUAGUCAUUCACAAUGCCACAAAUAAAAUUUACAAUGAUACAGUCGGAACAAUCCCAGCUCGAUUGAAAUGAUGACAAAUAGUCGUACAUCUCAAUUACAAAUAUGCAAUCUACAACUCAAUUAUCAAGAACAUACAUUUUUUACAUUAAAAAUUUAAUAAUAAAAUUGAAAAUUGCAAGAUAAUAUAAUUAUCAUACAUGCCACGAUUUUUUUUUUACAAUGAUAUUCACUUUAAUUCUUCAUGAUAAUACAGUUUAACAACAUGUAUUUUUUGCAUUAAAAAUUUUAAAAAUUAAAAAU
rnacentral:lncRNA from 1 species